GAGUGGGGCGGUGAGCAAGGGAGGGGCCCAGCGUGACACCCAGCCCCGUCGUUGCCAUGGUGACGGUGAUGCGGGUUAUGCACCAGGAAGACUGGGGUGGGAACGGUUUGUGGGCGGGGAGGAGGACUGCAUGUUCUUUUUCACUGUGUCAUCAUGCUUUAUCGUGAGGGCGAGAAGUCUCCGUGGGGAUGUCAAGUUGGCAAUGGGUUAUUAUUCUCUGUUUGGCACAGAGGCUCUCACCGUGGUGUGAGAGUGCCAUUUCUGAUCUGCACUCCACUGUACAAAUCCAAGAAUAAUUUGUCCGUGAGGCACUGAGAGCCUAGCUGGGAAGCCGAGAGCACCUCCUUCCAGAGACAGUCGUCAACUCGGAGCAUCUCAGAGGAGUGGUUCCCUACUUUCGACGAAAACUUCUUUGCAUAAUUGUCACACUGUUGUCCAUUGGAACAGAAGAUCCACGAGAGCAGGCACUUUCUUUCCUUAUCUCCAGCAUGUAGAACAGUACAUAGUAAGCACUCCAUAUAUACAUCUUGAGUGAAUCUAUUGAUACACGAAUGAGUUUGCUUCAUCAACCUUCAACACUCCGGCUCUGUUUCGAAAUGGCCCAACUAUAACAGCUUCUGCCCUUUUGAUUUUCCUCCACGAUGUUGUGAUUCUGCAACAAAUUAAGCAACUGUCUGUCCAGAUCCAUGAUUUAAAUAGACCACUGGAAUCCACCUCUCUAUUUCAACACACUUCCAAGCUUUGAAAUUGUCAUCGCCAAAAGAUGUCGAAGAUUCCAGAGAGUGGGAAAACAAAAGUCAGCCAAUCUUUAUUAUUUACAGCAUAUGGGAUUGUUUGUAAAAUUCUAUACACUAUAAACUGAUCUCUGAGGAACCCAACUCAUCUUAAUGGAGCCAGAAGGGGAUGGCUACCCUAUACCCCCCCCCCAACACUGAUAUUUGAUCGGAACAGGAGCACACACGCUGGGUUAAGCUGGUACUUUCAUGGCUUUUCAGGCUGCUAUUUUAAUUCUGCCCACACCCAGGAGAGGCUUCCUAUGAAUGACAAAGGAUCUUCUAUCACAGAUUUUAAAAUAAAAUUCUAAUGUGAUAUUCUAAGACUGAUCUCAGAAACUAAAGUAGCAAAUAGUUUUAGGGGAAGCGGCAGUUCCAUUAAGCUCAUUGUUCUUUUGUUCCUGGUUUUAGCAGCACGUUGAGCCUAAAGGUGUCACGAGAAGCCGUUCAACACCGUCCAGAUCCACACGUCCUUACAGGAGCACACGUGGCUCUCCGAAGGGCCUGUCCGUGCUCUGGGAGCUCCCCAGGAAGGGACUGAUUACACAGAUCAUGUUCCCCGUUCAGUGAAUGAAGUUGACCCCGCCGUUCUCACUCAUCAACCCCCGUGUGCGUUCAAGGAGGCAGAGAAGAGGGGGUAGGGAGAAAAAAGUGUUCCCACUCGGGUUGUGAGGCGCCUCAUGAAUUCUGCUGAUUCUCAACAGGCCCAGCGCGGUCCAUCCAAAUGCCCACACCUUUUUCUCAACAAUUCCUCAUCUAAGAUUCUAGACUUACAUAAGCACGUGUGUGGAAGAUGGACGUUAAGUAUUAAUUGAAAAGGAGGAUAAAUGGAGACAACCUGAAUGUCAGUUGUCAUGGGGAUGGUGAAAUAAAUGAUGGUGUGCCCACACAGCUACAUGUCAGGCAGUCAUUAAUGUCUGAGUUUUUCAUUUUUUUUAAAUCACGUUGACUAUCUGAUGGGAGAAAAUUUCUGGUAUGUGUGUCCGGAGAGACAGAAUUUCAUUGGGAUUGCCUCCAGGGCAAGUGAAAAACUGGGGACAAAAUUAAAAGCAAGAACUUUUACUUUUUACUUUAAAAUACACCUACAUCGAAUGUUUUACACAUGCAUAGAUCAUUUACCAUUAGAUUAAAAUAAAAAUUUUUAACUACAUAGGUGGUAAAAGUUGAAAAUCCCUGGGAGU